rnacentral:tRNA from 2 species
GGUGACGUGACUGAGCGGCCGAAAGUGCUCGCCUCGAAAGCGAGUGUAGGGAAACCUACCGUGGGUUCAAAUCCCACCGUCACCGCCA